GAACGGUAACGGGCCCGCAAGGGUGCCGACGAGUGGCGGACGGGUGAGGAAUACAUCGGAAUCUGCCCGGUUGUGGGGGAUAACGUAGGGAAACUUACGCUAAUACCGCAUACGACCGAGAGGUGAAAGCGGGGGAUCGCAAGACCUCGCGCGAUCGGAUGAGCCGAUGUCGGAUUAGCUAGUUGGCGGGGUAAGAGCCCACCAAGGCGACGAUCCGUAGCUGGUCUGAGAGGAUGAUCAGCCACACUGGGACUGAGACACGGCCCAGACUCCUACGGGAGGCAGCAGUGGGGAAUAUUGGACAAUGGGGGCAACCCUGAUCCAGCAAUGCCGCGUGUGUGAAGAAGGCCUUCGGGUUGUAAAGCACUUUUAUCCGGAACGAAACGCGCUUGGUGAAUAACCAGNGUGAACUGACGGUACCGGAGGAAUAAGCACCGGCUAACUUCGUG
rnacentral:rRNA from 1 species